GACGAACGCUGGCGGCGUGCUUAACACAUGCAAGUCGAACGGAAAGUCCCUGCUUUUGUGGGGUGCUCGAGUGGCGAACGGGUGGGUAACACGUGAGUAACCUGCCCUUGACUUUGGGAUAACUUCAGGAAACUUGGGCUAAUACCGGAUAGGAGCUCCUGCUGCAUGGUGGGGGUUGGAAAGUUUCGGCGGUUGGGGAUGGACUCGCGGCUUAUCAGCUUGUUGGUGGGGUAGUGGCUUACCAAGGCUUUGACGGGUAGCCGGCCUGAGAGGGUAACCGGCCACAUUGGGACUGGGAUGAGGCCCAGACUAGUACGGGAGGCAGCAGUGGGGAAUAUUGUACAAUGGGCGGAAGCCUGAUGCAGCAACGCCGCGUGCGGGAUGACGGCCUUCGGGUUGUAAAGCGCUUUCGCCUGUGACGAAGCGUGAGUGACGGUACUGGGUAAAGAAGCACCGGCUAACUACGUG
rnacentral:rRNA from 1 species